rnacentral:rRNA from 1 species
GAUCCUGGCUCAGGAUGAACGCUGGCGGCGUGCUUAACACAUGCAAGUCGAGCGAAGCACUCUGCUUUGAUUCUUUCGGGAUGAAGAGCAUUGUGACUGAGCGGCGGACGGGUGAGGUAACGCGCGGGUAACCUGCCUCAUACAGGGGGAUAACAGUUAGAAAUGGCUGCUAAUACCGCAUAAGACCACAGCACCGCAUGGUGUAGGGGUAAAAACUACGGUGGU